AUUGAACGCUGGCGGCAGGCCUAACACAUGCAAGUCAAGCGGAUGAAGGGAGCUUGCUCCUGGAUUCAGCGGCGGACGGGUGAGUAAUGCCUAGGAAUCUGCCUGGUAGUGGGGGAUAACGUCCGGAAACGGGCGCUAAUACCGCAUACGUCCUGAGGGAGAAAGUGGGGGAUCUUCGGACCUCACGCUAUCAGAUGAGCCUAGGUCGGAUUAGCUAGUUGGUGGGGUAAAGGCCUACCAAGGCGACGAUCCGUAACUGGUCUGAGAGGAUGAUCAGUCACACUGGAACUGAGACACGGUCCAGACUCCUACGGGAGGCAGCAGUGGGGAAUAUUGGACAAAGGGCGAAAGCCUGAUCCAGCCAUGCCGCGUGUGUGAAGAAGGUCUUCGGAUUAUAAAGCACUUUAAGUUGGGAGGAAGGGCAGUAAGUUAAUACCUUGCUGUUUUGACGUUACCAACAGAAUAAGCACCGGCUAACUUCGUG
rnacentral:rRNA from 1 species